GCUGACAGCACUGACAACCCGGCGCCCAAGACUGCUUCACGAAUGCGAAUGCGUCAGUCUCUAGGCACCAGGCGCCAGUGGUGAGCAAUGGCUCGCGUCACAGUGGCCACCGUUGCCUGGAGACAACUCCCUGCGGCUUGGUGGAGGAGACCUCUGUGGACAUGCAUUGGUGUUGGACUCUCGCCUGUGCUCUCUGGGGGAUCCACGGGAUAGUCCCCCGAUUCUAGGAACUGGCAGGGGGAAGCAAGCCUAAAGAAACAUCUAGUGAAGCUUCAGGCUUGCAAUUGCCCCAGUGGGCCUCUGAGACACUCUCUCAACCUUAUCUGAACCCGUGAGAGGCCAGUUCGAAGUGUGAGAACACUGCUCCACCUUGGAGUUGCCUUUGUCUUGGUUCCUGCCUUCUCAGAGAGCCGUGCUGAGAACAGGAGUCCCUGCGAGGCCCGGGAUGAAGAUCUUCUCUCUGGAUCCGGAAGAAUCAUAAUAUUUAUCAACUCUGUAAACUCUCGGGAAAGCACUUGUGCUAGCAAGAUGCUGCCUCUGAAGAAGAGGAAGAUGACUGGGGAUCCAACCAAAUUAUGUUAAACACAGGUGAUCUUGGACUUGUAACAAGCAUCUCUAGUCCACAGUUUGAAGAGGGUGAUAGGUGUUUUCCUGCAAAUGAAGUUUUACAGGAGAAUUAUACCCAUCUACCCAAAGAGAUGUGUUCCUGCUGCUGAACCUCUUCCCAGAAAUAGAGACCAGUGCAUGAAUUCACACAGGCCAGGUUACCCUGAUACCACAAGGGCUUUCCCAAAAGUUUACAGAGUUGAUAAAAGUUAUGAUUCCUCCAGAUCCAGAGAGAAGACCUUCAAGCAAUGGCCCUGGUAAGCAUUCGGUACUGCUGUCUGCUUCUAGAAAGAGAGAAGAACAGUAACAAAUAGAAUCGAAGCCUGGAAAGUUCAAAAAUUUGCUUUUAGAAGGAUAACUCAAGGAAGCACAGAUGGCAGAGGCUGCAGCUGAAGCAGAGCGCUCUGCUGGCGGGACAGCCAUCGUGUCCAGCACCCAGAGUAAUGGGCCAUUCAGCCUAGUGGAAGGCACAUGAGCUGCUCCAUCAACCUUCCUGCAUACUCACCUACUCAUGUCCCACCUCUUCUAGAAACUGUGACAAAAGGGAGCUAGGUUGAAAUCACUGCUGGAAUCCCGUUUGUAAUGACUUUCACUCUUGGUGUCAGUAGUUUUACUGCUUGGGACUUUUAUUUGUGAAUUACAGUUGAAAGCUGCAUUUUUACCUAUGUCAGGCUUUCAUCUGGCCUUACCAGUCUUUCCUCUGUAGGAUGGCAGUCACUGUUGGAUAUUACACCAUCCUGUCCAGGGCUAGCCACUGUGGUGGUGUGCUGCUUAUAGCUUGCUCUUGUAUUGUAAUAAAAGAUAUCUUUCCCUGUCGUGAUUUGUAAGAAGAACUCAAGGGCAUUGUUACAAAAAUAUUCUCCCUUCAAAAAGAGAAAAGCUAAAAGACUCAUUACUACUCAGACUUCAAUACACCUGUGUGUCAAUCUUAUAUUUCUUUUUUUAUACAAAACUGUAAAAUAUACUUUUAGGUCCAAAAGUAUACUUUUAGUGCUUUGUAAGCAUUGCGUGAAGCCUGAUAUGAUAAUUCCAUGGAAGCAUUGCCUUGGGAAUUUGCUGUCUUUGCUGUAAGCUUGUAGCAUUAAACAAACAUUGUAGUUAAUAGGCUUUCUCUUUGAAACAAUUAUGUGAAAUGUACAGCUGUUCUUGAGGAACUUUGAAGCUAGUUCAUUGAAAAAUGCUCCUUUCCCUUCCCUUGUAAUGCUAUAUUAAUGAAGUAUAAUAAUUACUGGUUUUGUAAUUUUUUUUCUGGUAAUGUUCUUCUCUGACUCUUUAAAAAUGUCCCUUCCCUCCUCCCAAGUUUUAUACUAGACUGUGGUUAGUCUGAUUCUAAAUGUUUUACUUAGUUUAUCCUCAAUAUUCAUGUAUAUAAAUUGAUCCUGGUGAUCCUGUACAUGGCUGUUUGCAAUGCCAGAAUGAUUUCUGACAUUCCAGGUUUUUCACAAAAUAUAUUUUAUUUGUGAUUAGUCACUUGACUAAUAAUAUCAGCUAAAAGAUGU
rnacentral:lncRNA from 1 species